rnacentral:lncRNA from 1 species
AAUUCAUUGCAAUCUUUCCUAAUGUGUGAAGCAUCAUCACACCAAAUGCAACUUUGUACAUAGCCUUAUUUUGAAACAUUCUUCGAAUUGUUUGUAGAAGUAUUCUCUUCAAGUCUUGCCAAUUUGAUUUAAAGAUCUUGCAUUCCUCAUUUAAUUUCUUCCAUUUCCAUAUCUGCUUUCUUUGAUAAAGAUGUCGAAGGUUGA